GAUCAGUGGCGAACGGGUGAGUAACACGUGAGCAACCUGCCCCUGACUCUGGGAUAAGCGCUGGAAACGGCGUCUAAUACUGGAUAUGUGACGUGACCGCAUGGUCUGCGUCUGGAAAGAAUUUCGGUUGGGGAUGGGCUCGCGGCCUAUCAGCUUGUUGGUGAGGUAAUGGCUCACCAAGGCGUCGACGGGUAGCCGGCCUGAGAGGGUGACCGGCCACACUGGGACUGAGACACGGCCCAGACUCCUACGGGAGGCAGCAGUGGGGAAUAUUGCACAAUGGGCGGAAGCCUGAUGCAGCAACGCCGCGUGAGGGAUGACGGCCUUCGGGUUGUAAACCUCUUUUAGCAGGGAAGAAGCGAAAGUGACGGUACCUGCAGAAAAAGCGCCGGCUAACUACGUGCCAGCAGCCGCGGUAAUACGUAGGGCGCAAGCGUUAUCCGGAAUUAUUGGGCGUAAAGAGCUCGUAGGCGGUUUGUCGCGUCUGCUGUGAAAUCCGGAGGCUCAACCUCCGGCCUGCAGUGGGUACGGGCAGACUAGAGUGCGGUAGGGGAGAUUGGAAUUCCUGGUGUAGCGGUGGAAUGCGCAGAUAUCAGGAGGAACACCGAUGGCGAAGGCAGAUCUCUGGGCCGUAACUGACGCUGAGGAGCGAAAGGGUGGGGAGCAAACAGGCUUAGAUA
rnacentral:rRNA from 1 species